GAGGAUUCAGGACAGUUGAACAUUCCUGGACAUCACCGGGGACCUAAUCCUGUCUUGGUCUUAGUUUUCUGCCAACACUGAAAGAAGAUCUGAGGGAUCAUCACAGAAAUGGGGUACAUUUUGGAAUGAAGAAGUAUUUUCGGGACCAGACAAGGGACAAGCAUCCCGCACGGACUCUGAGACCUGACUCCAGGAGCCCUGGUCAGAGGCUCCUUGUUCUCCACCCUGAAGCCCCCCGACGCCGUG